GGACAACCUGCCCUGAGGACUGGAAUAAUCCCGGGAAACUGGGGGUAAUUCCAGAUAUGUCAGAACUCCUGGAAUGGGUUCUGGCAGAAAUGCUCCGGCGCCUCAGGAUGGGUCUGCGGCCUAUCAGGGUAGUAGUGGGUGUAACGUACCCACUAGCCUACGACGGGUACGGGUUGUGAGAGCAAGAGCCCGGAGAUGGAUUCUGAGACAUGAAUCCAGGCCCUACGGGGUGCAGCAGGCGCGAAAACUUUACAAUGCGGGCAACCGCGAUAAGGGGACCUCGAGUGCUGGGUUACAAACCUGGCUGUUGGGCUGCCUAAAAAGCAGUCUAUAGCAAGGGCCGGGCAAGACCGGUGCCAGCCGCCGCGGUAACACCGGCGGCUCGAGUGGUAACCGCUAUUAUUGGGUCUAAAGGGUCUGUAGCCGGCCGACUAAGUCUCUUGGGAAAUCUGGCAUCUCAAGUGUCAGGCUGCCAGGGGAUACUAGUCGGCUUGGGACCGGGAGAGGUGAGAGGUACCUCGGGGGUAGGGGUGAAAUCUUGUAAUCCUCGAGGGACCACCAGUGGCGAAGGCGUCUCACCAGAACGGAUCCGACGGCAAGGGACGAAAGCUAGGGGCACGAACCGGAUUAGAUACCCGGGUAGUCCUAGCCGUAAACGAUACUCGCUAGGUGUCGGCCACGGUGCGACCGUGGUCGGUGCCGUAGGGAAGCCGUGAAGCGAGCCACCUGGGAAGUACGGCCGCAAGGCUGAAACU
rnacentral:rRNA from 1 species